CAUUACCCCCAUCAUACCCCCUGCCUGUCCAAAUAAAAUAUUUUAUUUGGCCAAGAUGCACACCGACAGAAAGACGGAUCAAUCUCUGAUAAAGCAUCUGAGUGAACAAAACAGUGCCCAUGUAUCUGAUUCUGUCUGGCCCAAAAAAGUAUGGCAAUGUGCACAUGCAGGCGGACCUGUGAAAAUAAAUUGUCACCCCUAUCGACGUCAAAUGCCCGUGCAACUGAUUUUUUCUGGCACCAGCCCUGACUCACUGUGAAGACCCUUCACAGGUCCCCCUUGGCACGUGCAGCUAGAUGAAUCAGUUGGCCAGCCAAUAGUUCUUCUCGAUGGUAUAGUUGAAGGACCCUCCAUGGUUGUCCCAGUCAAGGGGACCAACAUUAGGCAACUGCAUCAUCCAAGACAGGAUCCAACUCUUACCAAUCUCCAGCACCCCCCCACCACCCAAUUGUACUCCUGCUCUUGGGAGUGACGUGCAGUGACACCCACCUUUCCCAUGACACAGUGUCUCUGUACUGUACCUAUCCCUGUCCUGUAAUAGCACGAAACAGCCACAAGAGCUAGCCACUCCUCUCCAGGAACACAUACAGGAACGCCACAAAUUGGGGGCUGCAAUCACACACUUUUGCUAAUUGUAGCAUUCCACACUCUUGAGUUAUUCUGGUAAUGCAGCUUUGACCUUUUCUAGUCCAGACUCAAUGUUUUAUAGGACAUUUGGCUCUUCUCUUUACUUGUCCAAACCCAAUCGGCUUUUAAAUGCCGUUAAUUGAUUUUAAAGGUUAAAAAUAUGUUGGUAUGAUUUUGGUACUUAGUCUUUUAUUUUUUAGCCUUCUCUCUUCCUAUAUAAAUGAGACCGUUUUGUUUCAGACACAAAAAUUCAGGACAAGAUAAUCAAUAUGAUUGCAAUGCGGAGCAUGUAACUCAAACUUGAGGAUGGCAAUAAAAACCUAAACCUUUAUUUGUAUGUCUUCCGGUCAUGAUUGUUGUCAUGAACUGUCAUCUCCUUCAGUGGCAUGUCAACGCUGUCAUUGAUGGCUACCCAAAUUGUUGUCAAUAUUCACUGUUCUGCAGUUCUUGCAUGAACUAAUUAAGGACCAGUGCAGUCAAAACGUGACUUUCAUGUGCUUUAUAUAUACAGUACCAGUCGAAAGUUUGUACAAGUGUGCAAAGCUGUCAUCAAGGCAAAGGGUGACUACUUUGAAGAAUCUCAAAUAUAUUGAAAUGUUUUACACUUUUUUGGUUACUACAUGAUUCCACGUGCUAUUUCAUGGUUUUGAUGUCUUCACUCUUAUUCUACAAUGUAGAAAAUAAUAAAAAAUAAAAACCCUGGAAUGAGUAAGUGUGUCCAAACUUGACUGGUACUGUAAUUCAUAACUGUGAGGUUGGAAUAAUACUGUGGAAUUGUGAAAAUGACAAUGCCAUUUUAGUGUAAGGGCUGUCUGAAAAGACUGAAAUUUCAACCUGUUUUGGUGGGAUGGAGUUUUGGCCUGCCUGGUAACGUUAAUAGACUAAUAAGAAAGAGUUCCAAACCUCUCUGCCAAUAACGGCAAAUAUUUCAUUUUCUCCUACUCACUCAGAACACUCCCAGACAGUCCUGCCAAAAUUCUUGCCGGAGAAAAUAAAUGUUUUAUUUUUGACCAUUUGAAUUGAAAACAAUCACUAAUGUAUUUCAUUAUUACCGGGAAAUUAUUUGAUACUGAGGAUUAAAAAAAAGCUGCAUUGGAUCAUUAAAGUAUUUGCUGUGCUAGACCUAGGGAUACUCUUUGCUAUAUAGUGCAAUCGGAAAGUAUUCAGACCCCUUCACUUUUUCAGUACAGCUCAGAGACAUGAUUGUGUCGAGGCACAGAUCUGGGGGGGUGGUACCAAAACAUGUCUGCCGCAUUGAAGGUCCCCAAGAACACAUUGCCCUGUAUCAUUCUUAAUUGUAAGAAGUUUGGAGCCACCAAGAGACUUCCUAGAGCUGGCCGUCCGGCCAAAUUGAGCAAUCGGGGGAAAAGGGUUUUGGUCAAGGAGGUGACCAAGAACCCAAUGGUCACGCUGACAGAGCCUUCCAGGUGGGGGAGCCUUCCAGAAGGACAACCAUCUCUGCAGUGCUCCACCAACAGGCCUUUAUAGUAGUGUGGCCAGAUAGCAGCCACUCCUCAGUAAAAGCUCUCUCGUGACAGCCUGCUUGGAGUUUGCCAAAAGGCACCUAAAGGACUCUGAACAUGAGAAACAAGAUUGAACUCUUUGGCCUGAAAGCCAAGUGUCACGUCUGGAGGAAACCAGGCACCACUCAUCACCUGGCCUAUUUUUAUUUUUUUAUUUUACCUUUUAUUUUACUAGGCAAGUCAGUUAAGAACAAAUCCUUAUUUUCAAUGACUGGCUAGGAACAGUGGGUUAACUGCCUGUUCAGGGGCAGAACGACAGAUUUGUACCUUGUCAGCUCGGGGAAUUGAACUUGCAACCUUCCGGUUAUACCAUCACUACGGUGAAACAUGGUAAUGGCAGCAUUGUGUUGUGGGGAUUUUUUUUCAGGAAAGAUGAAUGGAGCAGAAUACACAGAUCCUUGAUGAAAACCUGCUCAGGACCUCAGACUGGGACUAAGAUUCACUUUCCAACAGGACAAUGACCCUAAGCACACAGCCAAGACAAUGCAAGAGUGGCUUUGGGACAAGUCUUUGAAUGUCCUUGAGUGGUCCGGCCGGAGCCCGGACUUGAACCCAAUCGAACAUCUCUGGAGAGACGCUCCCAAUGCAACCUGACAGCUUGAGAGGAUCUGCAGAGAAGAAUGGGAGAAACUCCCCAAAUACAGGUGUGCCAAGCUUGUAAUGUCAUACCCAAGAAGAAUUAAGGCUGUAAUUGCUGCCAAAGGUGCUUCAACAAAGUACUGAGUAAAGGGUCUGAAUAUAUGCACACACAAAAUGUGGAACAAUUGAAGGGGUCUGAGUACUUUCCGAAAGCACUGUACCUGUUGUUAGUGGUAUCAUAGUGGUUACGAAAUUAGCGCUGGAGCAUUAUAUAGUGAUUUUUUUUUUUUUUAACAAAUACAUUUUGAGAUUUGCUUUACAUAUUUGAACUUUGUGUUCGAAUUAAACAAUCAAGGCCUUUAAACACUUGUUGGACAAUACAUCAAAAUCCCUUUUAUUGAAUCUUACAGAGUUGACAUAAUUCCAGUUAAGUGCAUUUUAAUGUAAAGCUUUUUUUUUUAAUUAACUUGUUGCUCCUUUACAUGUGGUAGCUGAUACUUUGGUCAAUAAAAAUAUCAAAUAAAAUGCAAAUA
ensembl:lncRNA